UACGAAGGGGGCUAGCGUUGCUCGGAAUCACUGGGCGUAAAGCGCACGUAGGCGGAUCUUUAAGUCAGGGGUGAAAUCCUGGAGCUCAACUCCAGAACUGCCUUUGAUACUGGGGAUCUCGAGUCCGGAAGAGGUGAGUGGAAUCCGAGUGUAGAGGUGAAAUUCGUAGAUAUUCGGAAGAACACCAGUGGCGAAGGCGGCUCACUGGUCGUCGAGU
rnacentral:rRNA from 1 species